CAGAAAGCAGCAGGGAAGGCAAAGCAGGUGGAAGGCUGCCUCCUGAUGCUGUGCUGAGGCCCCCUCACUGACCUGCCAAGAGACCCGGUUUGCCUCUCUGGCGAACCCUGCGACGACGGGGUCUGCCUCGGAGCAUGGCCGAAGCGUGGUGCCCGAGGACCUGGGCAUUCCUAAGAGAGAGUGAGUAGGAGUUGGGUUUUGGUGAAUAUGCCACUAAGAUUGUGCUCUUAUAUUUGGUUUUCUUUAUCAUAGGUGC